rnacentral:rRNA from 1 species
UACGAAGGGGGCUAGCGUUGCUCGGAAUCACUGGGCGUAAAGCGCACGUAGGCGGAUCUUUAAGUCAGGGGUGAAAUCCCAAGGCUCAACCUUGGAACUGCCUUUGAUACUGGGGAUCUCGAGUCCGGAAGAGGUUGGUGGAGCUGCGAGUGUAGAGGUGAAAUUCGUAGAUAUUCGCAAGAACACCAGUGGCGAAGGCGGCCACCUGGUCCGGCACUGACGCUGAGGUGCGAAAGCGUGGGGAGCAAACAGG